ACAACAACAUUCGGACCGUCGGUCUACCGAGCAAUAUCACCCGCUCGGUGGAAGAUCUUCCUUUUGUCGUAUCCC
rnacentral:pre_miRNA from 1 species